rnacentral:sRNA from 1 species
UUAAAUUAUAUUUAUUUUAUUAAUUAAGAUAAUAUAAUUGUAUUUUGAUUGUUAUAUUUAGGAUUUCACCGGUGGUAUACCGUCUCGUAUUACUAUCGACCCAAAUCCGUCCUACCAUCUAAUCCCGUUCAGUGAAACUAAACAUAUCUAACAGAUUUCACCCGUGGUAUACCGUCUCGUAUAACUGUCGAUCCAUCAUAUUAUUAUCGACCCAAACCCGUCCUACAAUCUAAUCCCGUUCAUUGAAACUAAGCAUAUCUAAUGGAUUUCACUUGUGGUAUAUCGUCUUGUAUUACUGUCGACCCACACCCGUCAUACCAUCUAACCCUGUUCAGUGAAAUUAAACAUUUUGUUUUUGUUAUUUUUGUUUUAAUAAUAUUUUAAUUGAAAAGAUAUACGUAUAGUUCAAA